rnacentral:rRNA from 1 species
GACGAACGCUGGCGGCGUGCUUAACACAUGCAAGUCGAACGAAGUGGCGAACGGGUGAGUAACGCGUAAUCAACCUGCCCUUCAGAGGGGGACAACAGGUGGAAACGACUGCUCAUACCGCAUACGGAGGGGGGGGAUUGCGUCUGAUUAGCUAGUUGGGGGGGUACCGGCCCACCAAGGCGAUGACCAGUAGCCGGUCUGAGAGGAUGAACGGCCACAGUGGGACUGAGACACGGCCCAGACUCCUACGGGAGGCAGCAGUGGGGAAUCUUCCGCAAUGGACGAAAGUCUGACGGAGCAACGCCGCGUGAGUGAUGACGGCCUUCGGGUUGUAAAGCUCUGUUAAUCGGGACGCGGUACCGGAAUAGAAAGCCACGGCUAACUACGUGCCAGCAGCCGCGGUAAUAC